AAUUGGAGGGCAAGUCUGGUGCCAGCAGCCGCGGUAAUUCCAGCUCCAAUAGCGUAUAUUAAAGUUGUUGCAGUUAAAAAGCUCGUAGUUGAAUUUCGGGAUUGACGUGAUGGUCGUGCCUUAAGGGGUAUGAACUGUUGCUGUUGAUUUCUCACCUUCUGGAGAAACUUGAUGUCCUUAAUUGGGUGUCUUGCGGAUCCAGGACCUUUACCUUGAAAAAAUUAGAGUGUUUAAAGCAGGCAUUUUGCCCGAAUACAUUAGCAUGGAAUAAUAGAAUAGGACGGCAUGGUUCUAUUUUGUCGGUUUCUAGGAUCACCGUAAUGAUUAAUAGGGAUAGUUGGGGGCAUUAGUAUUCAAUUGUCAGAGGUGAAAUUCUUGGAUUUAUUGAAGACUAACUACUGCGAAAGCAUUUGCCAAGGAUGUUUUCAUUAAUCAAGAACGAAAGUUAGGGGAUCGAAGACGAUCAGAUACCGUCGUAGUCUUAACCAUAAACUAUGCCGACUAGGAAUCAGACGAUGUUAAUUUUUUAAUGACUCGUUUGGCACCUUACGGGAAACCAAAGUGU
rnacentral:rRNA from 1 species